GUAGUCCACGCCCUAAACGAUGACAACUAGGUGUUGGGGAAGCGAUUUCUCAGUACCGCAGCUAACGCGUGAAGUUGUCCGCCUGGGGAGUACGGUCGCAAGAUUAAAACUCAAAGGAAUUGACGGGGACCCGCACAAGCGGUGGAUGAUGUGGAUUAAUUCGAUGCAACGCGAAUAACCUUACCUACCCUUGACAUGUACGGAAGCCCAGCGAGAGCUGGGUGUGCCCGAAAGGGAGCCGUAACACAGGUGCUGCAUGGCUGUCGUCAGCUCGUGUCGUGAGAUGUUGGGUUAAGUCCCGCAACGAGCGCAACCCUUGUCCCUAGUUGCUACGCAAGGGCACUCUAGGGAGACUGCCGGUGACAAACCGGA
rnacentral:rRNA from 1 species